rnacentral:rRNA from 1 species
GACAGAGGGUGCAAACGUUGUUCGGAAUUACUGGGCGUAAAGCGCGUGUAGGCGGCUUGGCAAGUCGGGUGUGAAAGCCCCGGGCUCAACCUGGGAAGUGCACUCGAAACUGCUUGGCUUGAGUACUGGAGAGGGAAGCGGAAUUCUCGGUGUAGAGGUGAAAUUCGUAGAUAUCGGGAGGAACACCAGUGGCGAAGGCGACUUCCUGGCCUGUUCUUGACGCUGAGGCGCGAAAGCUAGGGUAGCAAACGGG